AGUUGCUAGAGAAGCAGGUGACUUAAGGAUGAUGAUACUAUGUGAAGGAGAAAGAGAUGAGCAUAAGCAUGUGAGGCUCCUUAGGGAGAAUGCCUCUCUUAAGAUGGAAAUUCUUCGAGUAAAGAAGGAAAGUAAGGAGAUGAAGGAGGAUCUUGAAUCAUCUAAUGAAGAUAUUGAGAACACAUAUAAUUUCAUACAUGAAGAAGGAUGGACAAGAAGCCAGACAAGCUUAAUCAUGUCCAAGCAGCUUGACACAAAACAAAUGAGAUGGUAUGCUUAGCACAAGAUGCAGGUGACUAUGGUAGCUCCAAGCAGUUUGAUGAGACCAUAUAUGCAUCCCUGAGAUGGAAGCCUAGCGGUGUCAAGAUAGGAGAUGUAGAUGAUCUCCAGCACUCUAAAGGGAAAGUAGUGUGAGGACCCGUGCGGAUGUGUAUUUAGUCCCAUAUCGGUUAUUCGCUGUGUAGAUCUUGGUUAUUCAUACAGGAUCGAGAAAUGAGGAUGAUAGUGUUAUUUUGAUGAUUAACAAGCAAUUAUCUAAAGCAUGCUAUAAGCUAAAUUGAUGCUUCAUUUAUAAGUUCAUUACUCUCAGUACAUUUGUUUAAUUGAGAAUAUAUAUAUGGUCUUGUUCAUUUGAGUGAAUCUAACCUUAAGAAUGCAGCAAAGUGUGGAUUGAGUCGACCCAUAGGUUGAUUGGGUCGACCCCGGCACAUCAAGGAAUCAUCUGGCACACUCCUGCAAAAGUGGCACAAAUGAACAGUGAG
rnacentral:lncRNA from 1 species